CCUCGCGAGUGAUCCAGUUUCAAUUACCGACUGUCAGCAUCUUAGACCCUCUCGUUCAACUAUCGCGAACAAUUAUGUACGGGAAAAAAAGUAGUUUUCGCGCCUAUCAAGGGCCUCUGGAUUUUUCCGAAUUUAACGCCCACUAAGAGAUCGCUUUUUGACUGCUACAACAGCCAUCAUGCAAUCAAAACAAGACGUGAAUCGCAUAAAUAAAUUUUGGCUACGAUAAGUCGGCUGCCGAAAAGACGCCGAUAGGCUUCCCUUCUUCAUUUGCGAGCUCAUAUGAGCUAGUUCCUACCCGAGCCCGAAUGACGCAAGGGACAUAUAAUGCAUCGAGCUUGGAGUUAUAAUUGUCCACCGCGGAAGAUUGACGAAAAUUUCUGCGCCAAACUUUUUGCCCCACCGAGUAAAUAGGGGCGGCUUGUUUUGAACGCAGGUGAUAAUUUUUAAUAUUUUUCUCGUGUGCUUUCCUCAAAUUUUUCAUUACCAUAGAGUAAAUUUUUUCAUCCACCUGCCCCUUUCUCCUUACCCUCUCGUCAUCUGCAAUCUCUUCCAUGUCCCGAUCUACCCG